UCAGAUCACGUAAGAUUUUAAUAGUCGAACAGACUACUUAAAUUAAUAUUUUCUUUAAUUAAGUUUCUUAAUCCAACAUCGAGGUCAUAAGCAUUUUUGUCGAUUUGGGCUCUUAAAAAAUAUUAUGCUGCUGUUAUCCCUAAGGUAAUUUUUCUUUAAUUAAUAAAUAAGUUCUUUAUAAAUUAUUUUCUUUUUUUUAAAAAUAGAUUUAUUUAUUUAAUCUCCCCAAUUAAAUAAUAGAAUUUUUUGUUUUGAAUAUAAAAAAUUUUUUUUAUUAAACUCUAUAGGGUCUUAUCGUCCUUUUGUUGUAUUUUUGCUUUUUUACAAAAAAAUAAAUUUCUAAAUUUUAUUUUAAAGAAAGUUUUUUUUCGUCUAGCCUUUCAUUCAAGUCUUUAAUUAGAAGACAAUUUAUUAUGCUACCUUUCCCAAAAUUUGCGGCCGUUUAAUUAUUCACUGGGCAGACGGUAUUUAAUAUAUGAACAUUAAACA
rnacentral:rRNA from 1 species